rnacentral:snRNA from 1 species
UUAGCUCUCUUUGCCUUAUGGCUUAGAUCAAGUGUAGUAUCUGUUCUUUUCAGUUUAAUCUCUGAAACUGCUCUACGGAGAAGAUUUAUUUGAUUAAAUUUAUUUUUGUCACUCCCUUCCUAACCUCUUGGCUUGCCAAUGUUAGCGAGGACCGUGUCUCUGGUAUCACACGGUCUCUAGAUGACGCAAACGUCU